UACGGGGGGAGCAAGCGUUGUUCGGAUUUACUGGGCGUAAAGGGCGCGUAGGCGGCCACCGCAAGUCGACUGUGAAAUCUCCGGGCUUAACUCGGAAAGGUCAGCCGAUACUGCGGGGCUAGAGUGCAGAAGGGGCAACUGGAAUUCUCGGUGUAGCGGUGAAAUGCGUAGAUAUCAGGAAGAACACCCGUGGCGAAGGCGGCUCUCUGGGACGGUACUGACGCUGAGACGCGAAAGCGUGGGGAGCGAUCCGG
rnacentral:rRNA from 1 species